UUCACUCCACAAUGAAUCUGUCUUAUUAGAUACCACAAUAUAACUGUGGUUAAACCCCUCCUAUAAAGCAGCUGCCCACCACAAUAGUAGUGUGGCCUUACUCCCUGUCAUACUUUUCCUCACUUCAUUUUCCAGGCUAUGAAACUCACUAGUCAGAAGGGGAAUAGCAGAAUUAGAAAUAAAUCCCAUAUCCCUUACCUUUUUCCUCUGACCUAGCACUGACAGUGUUGUGUGUUUGCACACAACACUGAAUUUUAAAGACAUUAAAUUCCACUGAAUUUUAAAGACAUUUCUCUUUCUUUACGGUAACUCACUGGGAGAUUAAUUUUUUUGUAUUUUAUGAAUUUUAUAUUACUUUGCUAAGAGGAACAGCAGAUUUGCAAUUUUCAGGCCUUAGAUACUGCUAGAUAUGCAGGGCACUCAAAUAAAAAAUUCCAACUUGGGGCUGUGGUGUUUGCGCAGGUUUAUUCUGGCAUUUUCUUCCCUUUCCAAAGGAAAAACCUCUGUAUCUAGAAUUGCAAUACAGGGAGUGCAGGUGCUUUACUACCCAUUCAUGUGUUUGAGGAAUCCGACUCAGCCUGGGCAUGAGCCCAUUCAGCACUUUUUAGUGUCUGCAACUGCAGUCAGCCUUGAGUUAACACAAACCACACUCCUCACCCACCCUAAACUGCAGGGUAAAUGUGCUACUGGGUAUUGAAUUUUCUCUGCCUGUUAAACCAGACAACUUAUUUUUCAGCUGAGUGAACAUAAAGAGUUUUGUAGAGCUGUGUUAAAAUGCAGCUCAGGUUUAGAGGAAUUACCUGAGGGUACUGAGUGCAUUUUCCCGUGUUAUCUGCUUGAUAAGAGCCAGAUCACUUUUAUUUGUGUAUGUGUGUGUGCAAUAGAUAAUAUGCCAUGAGGAGUCAUUGUAAAGACUCCAAGAAGGCAAUGCUCAGAACAUCUGGCUAGUGAAAGCCCUGGACAUGGAAAAUAUAAAUGUCAAGGCUCAUAUUUAUAAAUUGGAAGGGCCAUGAUGACAUCUGCUAACAAGCUUUCUUCCAGAGCCCAUUUGCUGUACAUGGUUAUUCACAGGCAACAACAAAAACGUGCAUGGAUCACAUGCAUGGCCUGCCCUUCCUUUCAGGAACACACGCUCCAAUAACACACAAAUGCUCUGUUCUCACAACACAGAAAUACAAGUGUUUGCAAACCUCACAGCAAAGCUCUUGCAUACCAGACCUCAGUGGGACACACACUGCUGGAACAGGCUAAAAAUAGCUGGGGAAAAAGCCUUGCAUUAACACAGAAGACAGUCAAACUCACUUAGCGUUAACUCUUCCAGUGAAAUAAGCUCCUUUUCUGCCUUGCUCUACAGGAGACACUUUGUACUACAAAUCUAAUCCUGAAGCCUUGUUUUUAUGCCUGAGCAGUUGUGGAUGGGAAUCUCAAGACUUUAAACAAAGUCUAACCUAUUUGACCAUGGUAGUAUUGAACUACAUUAAAACCAACUACAGUGGCAGCAGAUUAUUAAGAACAACAGAACAAAGUAAAACACAUGGAUCUUUUCAUGUGUUUAGCAGGUAAAAGUGAGGCUGCACAUCUUUUCAGGCCCAUCUGGAGGAUAACAAAUUAACUCUUUGACUUUACAAGGGUAAAGAACUUAUCAGUCACGGCCAGCUGACAGGGAAGGUCUAUUAGCACGGAGAUGCUACAGGUUUGGACAUGAAUGUCAGGACUUCCCGUCGUUACUGAGAUGCAUUAGAGAGCUGUGUGCUGAGGCCAGGUUCCACAGCUUUAAUUAAUAUAUUCUGUGCACUCUGACCAACCUGAUAAUCCAAGAAGCCUCAAUAAAAACCAUCUAGGGAGGGAGGAUAUGUCAUCACCAUAUCAUUUGUUACAGUCAGGAGAUUUACCUCUUGUUUUUACUGUGCUGAGUUACACCGUGCUCCCAUUUUACUUUCACUGGAGGGCUCGUGUACCCGGGGCUGUGCAAAGGGCAUGAUGACAGAACUGCCAGAGCCAGUGCUUGUCUAAAGCAGGCAUUGAGCCAUCUGCUCACCUUAAAGGAGGAUCAAAUGGAAACAGGAAAAACUCAAGGAGGGGAACAUGCAGUGCUCCCUACGCUUGCCUCUCUGCUCAGGGGGAGCAGAGGAUGCCUUCACGGAAGCAAGAUGGCAUGUCUGAGAGAGGCAGGCAGGACUGGGAGGAAGAAGGACCAACUAUGCACUGCUGAACUGCCCAAAAUGUCUUCUUCUGGACACUGUAUAUCCACCAGGGUUCAAAAAAAUUGGGCAAACUAAGAGCAGAAUUUAGGCCAGUUCAGGUUAUAAAGGUUCCCCUUCCACAAAGCAACCAGGAGAGAGCAUUUGCCCAGGAGGUGUUUUGGAACCACUCCAUAUCACAGAAAGCUCUUGUACCCAAACUGACAAACCCUGAAGUUCUUCUGCUGACUGUAGAUAUUUGUAUGCCAUGUCCUGCAAGACAGAGAAGUCCUGAAGCUGUGUCCUCAUCCCUGGUUGAACACAGGGCAAAUAAAUGCAAAGGUGACACUGCUUCCUUGGCUGCACAGGCUGGAGGAGGCAGUGAUCCCCCUCCCCAUGAGCAUCAGGAGGCACUCCCCGAGCAGUGUCCUGACCAGGGAGGCAGACAGGGUAAUUUAAACAAACAAGGCCCCAGUGAUGGAAAUUUCAAGCUCAAAGGUACCAUAUGGAGGGAAAUCAUCUGACCACAAUUUACCUGUUAGACUUCAAAGGUGUCUAGGUCUCCUCUAAAUAAAAGCAGUCUUUUCUUUAAUGAAGUUAAGUACUGUAUUUCAGCACCAUGUGUUGUGAAAAGGAAGCAAUUUGGAUUAAUUUACUGAAACUUACCUUUCAGAUGCAGUUAAGUGGAAUUAAAAGUUUGUCUAAGUUGACAGAGUUCUGUUUUCCAUCACUGCAUUGUCUUGAAAGAAAGGAUAACAGGCUAAGUGCUUAAAUUCCAUCCAAACUGAUAAGGUUCACUCUGUACAGGCAAACUCAGUGUAGUUUAUUACGUAUUGUCUCCCUUCAUCCAUCACUGCUAUACAUUUUUUUCCUCCUAAAACAACUGCUUCUUCCAAAAUGAAUUGAUAUUUGUGAUGCUAUUGCAUUCAUCUGGGGUUGAACAGUCUGCACUGGGCUAUCAGAGAGCUGCCAUUUCUACUUACAGGGAGAAUUAAUUUCAUUUCCCACUUAUGGUAGCUUUUGCAGGGCUGAGCUUACAUCUGGGACGAGAAUUUUUUUUUUUCUCUUCUGAGAACAAUUCUUUGUCCUUAAUUUAUUUCCUGUUGAAGCGUGUGUGUCCCUACCCUCUUUCCAAACAGCACCUUCACCCAGAUUUCUUCCUUGGCAGCGGGAAUUAACUUGCCCAUUGCAUUCUUUCUACAUUUUUUCUUCCCACCACUGUACUUCUCUCUUUCACAUCCCCUAGCUGCCAUUGCUCCUUCCAAACCUCACCCCUCCCCUAAUGCCCUCCCAGUUAAUAACUCCCCUCCCUCCUUUUUCCCAGGAGCUUCCCUCCCUCCUUGCCUUAGGUUCCAGGAUAACUCCCCCCAGCAGCUGGGAGAGGUUCUCUGUUCUGGACAGGUUUUGUUGGCAGCCUUGAACCAUUUGCCUGCUACAGCAAAGGUGCAAUCCUGACUUGCCCUUCACUGACCGCUCUGAAACCACACAGAAAGAACCUCUGUUCUUUCAAUUAACUGAGCAUCUCAUCAUGAAAAGCCAGUGAAUGAUCUGUAAUUAAUUAUUUAUAUUACACGGGGAAGCCUAGCUAACACAGUGUCAACAGAAACAAUGAUACUCUGUAUGCCAAACUGCAGCCCUGCAGCCUGAGGGUUUUGUCUCCCCUCCCUGCUGCCCCAGCUGGAUUUUGGCUAUGGGAGGUAGCCAGGGUUUGAGUCUUGUCUAAGUUCAAAUUUCUCCCAAGGACAGACUUCAGAUCUGCACAUUUCUGCAAAAUCAAGUAGUUGAAGAAAAAAAAUCUUGCUACUUGAAUCUCCAUUCAAUUUUGAUUCUUGACAAGCCAUUUCAAACAGAAACUGCAGUCAGGCAGGACUUUUUCAGUUUGUUUAGAUUUUGGGGGAAGGAGGCAGAAGGGAGAGGAAACCACACAUUUCAUCAGCAUUUUUUAUUUUUUAAUAGUCUUCAGUGCAGCCAAUUACCCAGGAGAUCAGCAAAUCUUAGCUCUGUCAAAGACAGGGAGGAGACAGAGCAGAAGCUUUCUCAUCCUCCACAGCAGUACUAAGCCUCCAACACACAAAUCUAAACACUGUCCACCCAGGGGUGCCAACUCAAAUGCCUCAGCUGUGAAGACAGAACAAAAAGAAAAGGACAAUCUCCAAGGUACAACUGAAAGUAAAUACUAAUAAUGAUGUGUGGCAUUAAAUGAUGACUCAUUUUUCACAAGGCCAUUUCAGAUUGUAGCCAUAACCUUGGAUCAGACCCGAAUGACUGUGAGAGCUGAAGUCUUAGUGGAACCAUUAAUUAUGGAUUUCCUGGCUUUUAUAGGUUGGAGUCAGACCUUUGAUGUUCCUUUAAGAUUGUUCUCCUGUGUUCAUUUCCUUUGUUUCUAUGUUGGUAGCUUAAGAAAACACCCUAAGAUUUCCAUGGAAGUGUAUGAGAUCGCCUAGAAAUGCGUAGUCCAUAAAAGCCCUGCAAUUCAUGGCUCAUAAAGUCCUCUAAUCCAUGGUCAAUAAAGCUUUGGAAAAGAGCUGUAUGAACCAGAGUCAUUUCACAGUUCAAUGAGGUUCAUACAGGAAUCAAUAACCUGGUUUAAAUUCGCCUGGAUUUGUCUUCCACCUGCAUAUUUCUCUUUGACUUUUCAGGUUGAAAGGCAGCUCCAACAGCUGAAUCCUGGGGACCUGGCAUGGAAACAAUGAGUUCUAUGCAGCUUUCCCCCAAAAGCCGUAACAAAGACCUAAAUCCCUCUACUUUGUCUCAAAGGUGAACAAUUCAAGUUUCAGGUGACAAGUGGAGAGUUAGGGAACUGGAAGAACAGCCAUUUGGAAAUACGGGGCCAUAGCUCAAGUUAAUACUAAAUGCAGAGACCUCAGUCCAUACAGAACAUGGGGGACUCCACCUGAAGUGUAGGCAAAUUCACAAUGGAUUUUUGGGACAGGCCAGAGUGAGAACUCCCUAGUACACCAAUUACCCUUCAAAAAUGAGUGCUAAGUCUCAAUUAUUGAGGUAAUGAAAAGAAGUCCAUGUUUCUCUCCUGCACAGGUAACACUCUAUUGCCUGUAUGAUCAGCCACCCUGCUUGUUUCCUCCCAAAAAUGAUCACCGCACAAGGUCUGGUCAUAGACACACAUUUCUGCUCUUUUCUUGCCAAUCAGAAAGGAACCAGUUGGAGAGAACUCACUGUUUAUUGCUUUGUGCAGGGUCCAGCUUGCAAUUAAUGCUGAUGAAACCCAACUGCCAAAAGCACAAUAUGCAGCAGCUGGUUUAUGAAAGUUGAGACCCCAUCCAAUUUAUGGGAAAACCAGAGCUGGUUGUGAGUCCCUGAUUUAGUGAACUUCUAUUUUUUGUGUUUUGUUUUGCUUUGUUUCCAGGAAAACACCAGAAGUUACUCCAGAACUGUAGAAGCACUAAAACCAUCUGAAAGCACUAAGGCAGGCUUCCCUUCUUCCAGCCUUUCCUCAUUUCUAGGCCUGUGAUCUCCCACUAAUAUCUCCCUGGGAUCUUUCAGCAAGGCAGGCAACCCACAGUGUCUGGUUCAUCACCAGCAUGGUGGGAGCAGAAACUUGUGUUUCCUCACCCCAAUCUCCACCCUUAUGAAAUGGAAAUAGAGGGAUAAAAGGCUUUGAUUCAGGUGAAAUCUCACAGGAGCACAGAGCAAAUAAUUUAACUCUAACCUUCAGAACUACCUCUUAAAUCCUUUUCCUAGGAACAUUUAAUAAAACCAGCAAAAGGCUCAAAAAUCAUAACCACCACUUUAAGUUCCCAACUGCAUAUUUCCACUGCCAAUAUCCAAUAUGCUUUCUGCAUAGAUAGGAUAGGGGUAGAAGGAUUGUGCCCAAGUACCAGGCUCCCACCAGACCUAUUUGAACACCUCACUUGUACAACACAUGAGGAACUGGACCACAGACCCUUGUGAAAUGCUGGGACAUCAUGGGACACCACAAGUCAGCAGCCUUCAGUCAGGACAGAAAAAUCCCUUGUAUUUGAGGCAAUCAGCUGUGGUGAACUAAAUGCCACCUAGUUCAUGCUUAAACAUCCUCUGUGGAGGGGAUCCAAGCACUGAACACACUUUGAAAAGAAAAUACAUGAAUCCUUCUUACAAGGCUGGCACUGACCUGAGAAACAGCCUUAUUACAUUAAGAUUAAUAUGCACCACCUUAAUAGCAACCCUUACAUCAUUCACCCUGAGAAAACAAUAAACUACAAAAAAUGAGGUAACUGCUCCAUUAAAAAGAAUGAAAAAAAUUGUAAUAAUAAUAAAAAUCUGAAAACACAAAUAUGUGAAGCUUUUUUUCUUAGCAAAGGGAGAAAUCUCUGAGAGACUUUCAAGGAAUUUAAGUGCUAUGAAAAUGGGAAUACGUAAUGCUCAAAGAUAAUUAUUAUAUGUGUAGGUGAGCAAUCAGUUCCCAACAUAUUACUUAGUUCCUUUUACUUGUUAGAAGAUCAAUAAACAUUGUGGCUGUUUGUCUGCCCAUGAUUUGGCCUGGAUAAAGGCACUAAGAGCUUUAGAGGUGGGAGAAUAAAUUGCCCAGGAAUCCUAAAAGCACACAUUGAGAAGCCCUGGUCAAACAUGAAGGUUCUUAUUCAAACAUUGAAUGGGAGUUUUUAACCUCAGACCAAGAUUGGAAUAGCCAUGGAAAAGUGCCUACCUCCAUUCUCUUCACAUAGAGGAUUUAGUUAAGUACUUCAUUUUGCUUCAGUUUGCUACUUUCAGGUCAGUCUGAGAUGUUAAAACAUUUCAGCCCCACAACAUAGUUAAGAAGGUUGAAAGUUCGAUUUGUCAGAAACUUUAAAAACUCUCAGGAAUAUUCUGUAUGGUUGGAAAAUAGGCAAGCCUUUGUGAUGAAAACUGCUGGUACAGAUAGGAAAAGAAUUAUUGGAAGAAAAAGGACAAGUACAGAGUAUUUUCUAUUGUUGUUUUUUUCUUGCUUUUCAGUCUGACAAGUCUUUGUUUCAGUGUAUUUUAAAUAUUUUAAGCAUUAACUCUUUUUUUCCUAUUUAUUUUUUGAUCAAACAUGCCUAUGAACACGCUUAUUUUUCUCCUAGCUCUUCAUUAGGCUACAAAAAUAUAAUCUCACUCCCUGUGUGUCCCAGUUAGCCCUUGUCCAACCCUCCCUAUGGUCUAAGCAGCAAGAGCUGGGAUCUGCAAAGAGCAUCAAGUUAGGAGCCAGCAGGAAGAGGACAGGGACCACAGCAGUCAUGACUCACCUGUCUUCUAUCCGAACCCAGAGGUCAUUGAACUGCCUCUGGCGAUGGUGUUUGUGCUGCUUCUUGUGCCAUUUCUUCUGCCUGCCAAACUCCUCCAGCUGGCUGAUGCUGUCGGGCAACAAGAGUCAGGACUGGGGACAAGGAGGCCUAGGCUGAUGACAGAAGCAUGGAAGCUUGGCAGCUGGGAUGGGAUAUGUGAGACCUGAACUCCAGCAGGUAAUGAAGAAAAAAGGGGAAAUGACCUGUCCAAAGCCUCCUUGAAACAAUUCUGCCAGAGCCCUUCAAUCCUGUCUGAAGUAUUACCAUCUCUUGUACAUGACUGGAAUGAUGCAGAAAAAGGCCAUUUAUUUUCAUCUUCUAGAGUUUCACUGAUUUUAGAAGAAAGUCAAUAUAAACUCUCUCCUUUGGUAUGCAGCCAUGUGAACUUAUUGUGAGCUAAGACAGCUGAAACAAAAAACUAAUAAACCAGGACUGACAUAAAGUUAUUUUUCCCCCCUAACUUCAGUAGAAGUUCAUAUUGAGUCUUAAUUGCAAGAAAUUUUCCUGUCCCUGGGAUGGGCCAAUGAGUUGUACAUACAGAAAAUGGGAGAGAAUUAAUAGGCAAUAUGAAGCUGUGGUCUGCAAAACUAUUUCUAUUACAUGGAUGCUAUGACUUUUAUGACAGAAACAAUUAAAGCCACGUGAAAAAUUUUGCCUCCUGAGUGAAACCAGUAAGACAUUUUAAUGAAAAAGUAAUAAAAAAUCCUAAACUUCAUUGGUGACAAUGUACAAAAUGUGCCGCAAGUGAAACCACAUGUUUCAUUUAUGGAACAUUUUGUUCUCUUCCAAAAAAGUCACAUCUACUACUAAUGAAAGCUUUUUUUCUUUUUGACUUUCUUUAAGUCUGUUACAAUACCAGUCUUGAUGGUCACCUCUAUUUCCACUGCAUUGUGUUUCAUCCGAAAGUCUUUCCAAUACCUACUGAUAAUUAAUUAUUGUUACUAUGAGACUCACUGGCAGAUACUACAGUCACUUUGUCACUUGCAGCCAACAUCCAUGAAGUUCUCCAGAGAUCAUACAGCGG